UACGGAGGAUGCAAGCGUUAUCCGGAUUGAUUGGGCGUAAAGCGUCUGUAGGUGGUUACGCUAGUCGGCUGUUAAAGAUCAGGGCUGAACCCUGAGCAAGCAGUCGAAACUGCGUGGCUGGAGUACCGUAGGGGCAGAGGGAAUUCCCGGUGUAGCGGUGAAAUGCGUAGAUAUCGGGAAGAACACCAAAGGCGAAAGCGCUCUGCUGGGCCGAAACUGACACUGAGAGACGAAAGCUAGGGGAGCGAAUGGG
rnacentral:rRNA from 1 species